ACUGGAGAGUGGACCUCAGUUCAUCUUUCAAUCACCCACGGACCUCCAUGAAAGAUGGCAAGUUGCGACAGAUGUAGCAGAAUGGGGAGUGAACAUGGAUGUUUUCCUACAGGAAGCUGCGAUUCGAGCCAAAUGUUGCAUUUUUAAUCCUAGCUGAUAGGAUUGAGAGCCUGGAAGACCAGAUGAGAAUGUUGCAGACAGUCUUUCUGGUGGAACCCAGAUCGUUUGUGUUACUUACUCUGAUUAAUCCAUCAUUAAGGGGAUUUUAGACCGCUUCCCAUUUCUCAACUAUUAAUCAAGAUUAGGAUUUCGCUCUCCAAACUUUUGUAGUUUAUCUUUGAAAUAAUUUACAUGCAACUGUAUCACCCCUUCUCUCUAAGCCAGUGAACAGGCACAAGACAAGGUUUAGGUGAAAUUGGCCUCCUCUCUGCUGAGGGAGAUCUUAUUAAAAACCCAUAUUUAAAAAAAAUAUUUUUGAGAUCCUCUUAACAAUCAUAUGAAAUGGUCCUCAGAUACGAUACGUUUUGCCUAUCAUUUUGCCAUUUCAUCAUUUUGUUAUUUGGCCAUUCACAUCAGGUUUAUGAUAAUUUCAUAGUGGGUAAAGUGAUACUUAAGGAUUUUGGCAAUGAAGCCCUUUACAGUAUCUACUUCCACGAGUCAGAUGAACUCAUGGAUACCAUUUUUAUGUCCCUGUAACCUGUACGGAGGUAGUUAUGUGAGCCAAUGCUAAUUAGCGUUAGCACAAUGACGGAGUCUAUGGUAUCUGCUAGCAGUUACCAUAGACCUCUAGUCUAUGCACCAACGCUAGUUAGCAACUUCCUUCAAACUGCACACAGAGACACAAAAAUGGUAUCCACAAGUACAUCUGACUCUGGGGAAAGUAGAUAAAGGGCUUCAAAAUCCUGAAGUAUCCCUUUAAAGUCGUGGUCUGCCCACCCACUAUAUCUAACUAUAAGAGGAGCUAAUGCAGUCAUCACUAUGGACAUCAUUAAGCUACUCUACUCUGUCGGCUGUAAUGAAUUGCUCCCGCACAGUAGGAAUUAAGUGUGUCAGUUGUACUGUAGCUACUGUGUGAUUGAGCUGUACUGUGGUAGGUCUAUAGAAUUGUAUGAUAGUGAAUUAUAGGAUCUCUAUGGGUAGGUCUGUGUGUGUGUCAGCUGUACUGUAGGACUGUGUGUGUGUGUCAGUGUAUUUCAGCCAUAUGGCAGCACUGUGUGCUACAUUGUUCCUUUAAUCAGCUGUUCUGAAGGCCCCCUCCAGUAAAACCAUGUUCCUAUUCGGCCUGGUAAUAAAGAAAUGCAGCGGCCAUAACUAAAGCCAAACAAGUUUCUUGUGUGUGUGUGUCCGCACGGCAAGCAUUUGUACAUUCUCUAUGCCAAAACAGUACAGAGUUACUGUAGUCACUCACCUUUCUAGUCAUCUUGAAACAGCUAGGUCUAGUCUUGAAGUCACUUAGGGGAAAUUCAACGGUAAUGGAAUUAUGCUUUGACUCAGGUAUUUCACUGUAAAAUCUAUGCCAAACAAAAAUCAUUGAUUUCAAAGUUUAACAACCCAUACAACUCUAUGCACAAGGACUACUUUGAACAAUUUACACAGUAUAUUUUACAAUAACACAUUUACUGGAUGAUCUGUGCCGAUGCAAUGUUUGGUAACAGAAUUAUGGUAAAAUCUCCCUCAGUUUUUUAUGCGACCACGUUUUCAAAAAAUCUGUUCCGAAUUAAUAUUCAAAGAUGUCUGCAGAAAGAAUGAGGUGGUGUCAGCUAUAGGGCUGUGGCGGUCUUGGAAUUGGAGGUUACAGUAAUUGGCCAGGCCAAUAUACACGGUCAAUGACAUAACUGUUAAAGGUAGGCUUUAUUUCUGCAGCUUCUCUAUUACCAUUACACAUCGUUAUUAUCAGUAGCAUUUCAUUAUUUUUAUUACCUUAUUAACUCUAAAUAUUAGUCUCGUAUACAAAUUAAGAAAUGUCAGAAAGGAGAGGAUUGUCACAUUUUUAUAUUGACACAACUUAACACAGGCUAUCGGCCUCAAAAGAAACGUGCAAUUUCGCUAUUGCAUUACACAUCGUUACUGGUUUCUUUCCUUUUUCAUUUAUUUUUCGGAUUGUUUCUGAUGUGUCCAUUUUGUUUAAAUGUGUGUUACUGUUGUCUUAGGCUUUUAAGACCCUAUGUAAAAAAAAAAAAACUUAAAAAAAAAAAAUUCUGUUUGUAUACUUGUUUACAUGGAUGCUUCUUAAUAAAACGUAUUUUAAACCA